GUCAUUCUUUCUUUCUUCAAGAAACACGCACACAUUUGUGGUAUUGGUUGGGUCGCUCAAAGAUCAAGAAUCUGGUAUGCUCGAUUUGUGCCGAUCAAGAAUCUGAAUCUCAUUCUCUUCUGUUUGCUACGGUAAUUUUUUUAAUCUUCGGCUUCAUAAAAUCAAACCCCUUUUUGCUUUUUUGAUGAAAAUGAGGGUAUAAACCCUAAAUCAAGAACAUUCAAUCUUCUGCUCGAUAAAAGGUAUAACUUUAUCCAUUUUUCUUGCUCGAGAAAAACAAAAAAAAAACCCUUAAUCGUGCAAAAUGUUUACGAUUGAUACCUGUUGCGACGAUUUUUUUAAAUUCUUGAUAUUUCAAGAACAUUCAAUUUCUGCUUGAAAACACAAAACUUUAAUCGAGGAAACAUGUUAUGUCCUGAGAACUUUCAAUCUUCUGCUAAUUGGAAACUUCAUUCCAACAUAUUUGCCCCAUUUGGUUUAUAAUUAAUACUUAUUGGUAACGAUGAUGGGUUGUCGAUUUUUUCAUUCUUGAGUAUUCAAGAACUACUUUCAAUCUUCUGCUUCGGAAAAAAUGAAACUUCAAUUUUUGUAAGAGAUUAAAUGUCAUUGAUUGUGAAUGUGAAAGCUAGUUGUUGCCGUAAUUGCUACUCAAGCAAUUGUCCCUAUUGGUGUCGGCUUUUCUAUUAAAAAAAGUUAUGAAUUUUUAUUCAUAAUAAUGCAUGAAUGGAUAUAUAUUCUGCUUUGAUGACCCUUAGUCCCUAAAUUGAAUUUUGCAACUUCAAUUAGAAGUGAUUUUGCAUUAUGAACUUAAUGACCCUUGUCCCUAAUGUUACAUAAGUUUUGGAAGGAAUGGAUGUCUCAACGACCUUUGAGGAAAAUGCAUUAUGAAUUCUUUAUUCGUAAUAGAAAAGUUGGAUGGUUGCUUUCAAAGCAAAGUAGUUUUAAUAUGAAAUUUAUUCAAACUGUGGAUGGAUAGACUUUGUUCCAUGAUUUUUGUAGGGUGGCCCAAAAAUGCUGGAUGAUGCCUUAAUGUGAAAGCUAGUUGUCGAUCCUAGUCCCUAAAUGCUAAUAUUAUCUAUUGUGCUUUGACGGACCCUUAGUCCCUAAAUGCGAUUUUGUAACUACAGUAUGAAGUGAUUUUGCAAAUGCAAAAGAAAGUGUUUCCUUGUGUUUUAUUGGCCCACUGAUAAGGGUUUCAAAGGAGAAUAAUGAAGAAACGAAUCGACUGAAGCAAAUUACAAAGAAACCAACUCUUUGGAGUCUAAACUAUUUCUUAUAAUAUGGCAUUAUGAUUAAUGGAGGAAUCCAUAAUGAGGUUGUAUAUAUAUAUCUGAUAAAAUUUGAUAAAAUAUGGUGGGUGCUCUGCCACUGGUAUAAGAUUUUUGUUGAUAAUUAUAAAUGUAAGUCUUGGAUUUUUAUUAUUCUUGAUCAUUCAAUAAGAUUCAAUCUUCUGCUUGAUAAAAAAUACAAAACCUUUUAUUGCUGAAUAUAGCGGUGUUCAGGUUCAACGGUGAUUUUGAAACCGAAAUCUCAUGAUACUGUUAGUGGAGGACUUUAACUGAGGUUAAAAGCAUCCUGGUGGGUAAGGGGGAAGGUUAAUGAAAAGUCAGAUUAAGAGGUAUAUGAUUCCUAUCUCUGUUUUUUAUGUUUUGAUUAUAUUGUUGAAUGCUUGGAUGUGGAGAGUAAUAAUACAUGUCAGUAUUCAGUACCCAUCUUAAAUUUAUAUGGCAAGUGAAUGAAGUUUUUGAUGCAAUCCAUUUUGAGUUAUCGCUUCUCUACAUUACUUUUUAGCUUCGACUGUAUUCUUACAGCUUUCAUUUCGUGACAGCUUGGGUUAAUAGGUUUGCGAAGGCUGGUGUUACUGCCAUGGAAGUUGCUGGGAAUACAGCAUUACGGGUGAGCUAUGAUUUCAAAACCCUCUUUCUAAGUGUCGUGUCACGUUAUUUCCUUCAAUUGUCUCAUCGAAACCUGGAUUUUAUUUGUUAUGUGAUAUGGAGCAUAAAUACUCCAAAAUUGCUAAAGCAUCGGUGGUAUACCUAUAUCUGAUACCAAUAUGCCAUCCAUAUUCCUCAAAAUAUGCUCCGAGUUCCCUCUAAAUUUUAUAUAUUUCAAAAGAAAAUUAUUGACUUAUGUUUCAGAGAUACUUCAUCGAUACUUUGAUAGCGAUAUCAUUUCCAAAAUCUUGUCUUAAAGCUUUUUGCGCCGCAUUAUUCUUUAUCAUGUUGUGAGCAGAAAAUUAGAGUACAUACUCUGUUGUUCAUUUUUUGAGGAAAUGUAAAAAAAUAUUAAGCGGCAUGGUUGUGAGAGAGUGGAGAGGUACAUUAUCUUAUUCAAUAUAGUGGCGGUCACUGACUUAUUUAAUUAGUAGAGUUGUUCCUUGGUGAAUUAGACUUAGAAGCUAUGGUUUUUGGACAAUGAGAAUGUACGAAAAUGAUAAAAUUAGCAUUAGACAGUAAAAAAUUAGCAAUUGAAGUUGAUUAAUUUGGCAUCCCUUUAGAUAUUUCUCAUUAUGAUUCAUGUUCUCAUUCUUCAUUAUUAACACAACAUUCAUCAAUCUUCUGCUUGACAAAAGGUAUAACUUUACCCAUUUUUCUCAUUCUUGAUCAUUCAAGAACAUUCAAUCUUCUGCUUGAGAACAAAAAAAAAAACCUUAAUCGUGCAAAAAUGUGUUAUGUGUCAAGAUCAUGUUUACGAUUGAUACCUAUUGCAAUACCGAUUUUUUAAUUCUUGAUAUUUUAAGGACAUUCAGUUUCUGCUUGAAAACACCAAACUUUAAUUGAGGAAACGUGUUUUGUCCCAAUAACUUUCAAUCUUCUGCUUAUUGAAACUUCAUUCCAACAUAUUUGCCCCGUUUGGUUUAUAAUUAAUACCUAUUGGUAGCGAUGAUGGGUUGUCAAUUUUUUCAUUCUUGAGUAUUCAAGAACGUACUUUCAAUCUUCUGCUUCGGGAAAAAAUGAACCUUCAAAUUUUUUUAAGAGAUAAUGUCACUGAAUGUGAAAGCUAGUUGUUGCCGUAAUUGCUACUCAAACAAUUGUCCCUAUCGAAGUCCGUUAGUCCCUAAAUUCGAUUUUGCAACAGCAAUUAGAAGUGAUUUUGCAUUAUGAACUCUUGUCCCUAAUGUUACAUAUAAGUUUGGUAGGGGAUGGAUGCCUCAAUGACCUUUGAGGAAAAUGCAUUAUGAAUUCUUUAUUCAUAAUGGAAAAGUUGGACGGUGGCUUUCAAAGUAAAGUAAUUUUAAUGUGAAAUUUAUUCAAAAUGUGGAUGGAUAGACUUUGUUCCAUGAUUUUUGUAAGGGUGGUCCAAAAAUGCUGGAUGAUGCCUUAAUGUGAAAGCUAGUUGUUGACCCUAGUCCCUAAAUGCUAUUAUCUCUUGUGCUUUGAUGGACCCUUAGUCCCUAAAUGCAAUUUUGCAACUACAGUAUGAAGUGAUUUUGCAAAUGCAAAAGAAAGUGUUUCCUUGUGUUUGAUUGGCCAACCGAUAAGGGUUUCAAAGGAAUUCUGUAAGGAAGAAACGAAUCAACUGAAGCUAAGUACAAAGAAACCAACUCUUUGGAGUCUAAACUAUUUCUUAUAAUAUGGCAUUAUGAUUAAUGGAGGAAUCCAAGGUUGUAUAUCUGAUAAAAUUUGAUAAAAUAUGGUGGGUGCUAUGCCACUGGUAUAAGAUUUGUGUCGAUAAUUAUAAAUGUAAGUCUUCGAUUUAGUAACUGAAAAAAGGUAGAACCUGACCCAUUUUUAUUAUUCUUGAUCAUUUAAUAAGAUUCAAUCUUCUGCUUGAUAUAUACAAAACCUUUUAUUGCUGAACAUAGCGGUGUUCAGGUUCAACAGGUAUUUGGAAACCGAAAUCUACAAUAGCAGGCUGUCAUCCUUUUAGAUUCAUUAUGAGACUCUAGAGAUAUGAUUGAAGCUUUGGUUACAGGAUAGAAAAUACGGAACAAUAACAGGUGCUGCGAGCUUUCAAGGUUGAUUUGUUUACCCGGCAGGCAUUUUAUGUCGGAAGUAAAUGUGGGGACAAGUUUUCUUAAUAUGGUAAUUCUAUGAUUUGAGCUGCCUUUCCCCCUUAAAUGUAUGGUGUAGAAUCACAUAUAGCUGUAAGCGCGCUUCAAAAUGAAGGUAAAACAAGUGAUUCAACCAUUUUAUUAGAUAUAGCUGUAUAUUAUGCAUGUAGCAUUUUGGUUGAUUUUGAUUCAUAUUUAAUUUGUUACAGUUUAAUAAUGAACAAAAGUGGGUAGUGAUUACUGGUAGAAGAGAUGUACUGUGUCCAAUAACAUUGAAACACUCAUCAAUAUCCCAGCACCUUUUCUUAACCUCACCCAACUUAGACAAACCUUUACCGGUAAAAAGCUUACUCUUCAUUACUUGGUUGUAUUAUCAGGUGCAUUUAAUUCAAUCUGUUUUUGAAUCUACAUGAAUGCGAGUUUCAAUCUUGUUACCGAUUUGAGAGCUCAUUGAUGAGUAAUAUAUAAGUACAUUUGUCCACGCUCUCUGAGUCUGAAAUAUAACGCUGUAAGUGCGCUUCAGAAUGAAGGAAAAGCAAGUGAUUCAAUUUUGUUAAUCAAAAUUUAAAAGGGUAUUAAAACCCUACAAGACUGAAUCAUUGUGUGACAAAAUCUUUUUUCAUUAUCUAAAAAUGGGGUGGAGUAUAUUGCUCUAGUAACCCCAGAUUUGACCGUUGGAAUCAAUGAAUAUACUUUGUUUUAUAAAUUUUAACUGAUGGAUCAUAGAUGCCUCCGUGACCAUAGAGUAAAAUGUUGGAUGAACUUAAUGACCCUAGUCCCUGAAUGUGAAAGCUAGUUGUUGCUUUAAUUGCUACUCAAGCAGUUGUCUCUAUCGGUGUCCUCUUUUCCAUUAGAAAAAGUUAUGAAUUUUUAUUCAUAAUAAUGCAUGAAUGAAUAUAUAUUCUGCUUUGAUGACCCUUAGUCCUUAAAUUCAAUUUUGCAUUGCAAUUAGAAGUGAUUUUUCAUUACAAACUUAAUUACCCUCGUCCCUAAUGUUACAUAAGUUUUGUAAGGGAUGGAUGCCUCAACAACCGUUGAGGAAAAUGCACUAUGAAUUCUUUAUUCAUAAUGGAAUAGUGGCUCUGUUUCCCAGGGGGAAUUGUAUAUGAUCACUGUGCAGGGUAGUGGCUCUGCUUCUGAGGGGGAAGUGUCAUUCUUAUCUUUUAAAUAGUAAAGUGCAACACAUAUUAGCAUCCACUUCAUAUAAUGGGACCACCGUGGUUUGGAACCUAAAGAAGCAAAAGCCAGUCAUAAGCUUUGCAGACUCAGGUAGACGGCGGCGGUGCUCAGCUUUGCCGUGGAAUCCUGAUGUUGCUACACAACUUGUUGCGUCAGAUGAAGACGGAUCUCCUUCUAUAAGGGUAUAGUCUCUGCAGAUUGUCUGUUUACUUUAAAGGUAAUGUGUAUGUGUAUUGACUUUAUAUGAGCAUGUUGGCGCAACUUUGGGAUAUGAGGAAUAUAAUGACACCGAUUAAGGAGUUUAUGGGGCACACUAGAGGUAAAGUCAGCCAUUCAUUUAUUUAUGAUUUAUUGUAUUCUGUGUCUGCCUAGUUGUCAUUAUCAAUGCUACCUUUUCUUUUCAUUAUAUUCUUCUUAUCCCCCUUCCACAAAUCCAUUGAAAAAACAUAUGGAAAACAAAUGAGUAAUUAGUAAAAAAUAAUUGAAGUCCGACGAUUGUAGAUCCCAAUUAUGUGUGAAUUGUAUAUGGCAAGUGAUAGAGAUUGCUAGGAAGCAAAAAUACAAUAUAGAACAUGUGUAUUUUACAUGGGCAUGGGGUUUUAGCAAAAUCUAGAUAUUUUAGAACGUAAAAUAGCUUGGGCAUGGUAAAGAGUAUGCGAUAUAAUAUUUCUCUUAUGGUUUUUAGCAAUGUUGUGAAACACGUAACUCAGAUUAGGAUUGUGAGGAGGGCAAUAGUUCAUAACUCGGAUAAUCUUAACACGGAUCGUAAUAGAGGAUCAUAGAUCAGAGAAGGAUCGUAAUACAAAAUCGUAGGAUCGUAACCAAAUCAUAACCAAAUUCUUAAUCAAGACAGAUAACUUAACAUAAAAAUUAAGAUUUAAAACUCAAACAAUUCAACAUAAGUUCAAACAGAAACAAAUCACAAUUCAACAUAAGCAGCAGAAAAACUUCCACAGUUACAGGCUGAGCAGCAGAAAAACUUCCACAGUUACAGGCUGUGAAGAGAUUUUCAGAAUUAUAAAAGAAAAUGAGGGUGAAUAACGAGGGAAAUAGAAUAAAGUGGUAGCUGGUGCGUAAGUGAUAGGGAGAAUUUGAUUUUAUAGUGAGAGAGAUGAAGGGAAAUGUUUGUUCACUAGGAGUUACUUUAAUUAUAUUAUUCUUACCUAUAGUGUUCUCUUCCUUAGUGCUGUAUUUUCCGGCUCUUGCUUUUUGAUCAGGUAUGAUGUACCGCAAGAUUAUUGAUUGUUCCUAUCAAAUUAAUGUGAAGAUGGAUACUAGCAUGUUUUUAAAUGAUUUAUAGGCUUCCUGGAUGGAUCUUAAUUUUAUAGUUCUUUUAGGUUUUACUGUGAAGCUACACAGUCUCCAUCACCAUUUUAAGUUUAUCUGACUUUAUUUUAUUGUCUAAAUCUCUGAUAUCAGGCGUAAUUGCAAUGUCAUGGUGUCCCAAUGAUAGCUCUUAUUUGCUUACCUGUGGCAAAGAUAGCCGAACUAUAUUCCGGGACACUAUUUCUGGAGAGGUGGUGUUUGGCCUUCGUUUAUUGCUUUCAUGCGUGUGUGUGUGUGUAUAUAUAUAUAUUGAAGAAUUUCAAUAUUUCCAGAUUUGGCUAGAUUUCGUAUUUAUAGGACAUUUUUCCAGUAGUGACAAUUUUUCUUUUUUGGUUGGGGGUGGGCACAGAUUGCCUAUGAAUUGCCAACCAGAACUAACUGGAACUUUGAUGUGCAUUGGUAUUCUAAGAUACCUGGAAUAAUAUCAGCAUCUUCCUUUGAUGGAAAAAUAGGCAUAUACAUAAUACAAUAUUAAGGUUCAUAAAUAUAAUUUGGAGUUUUUUUUUUUCUUUUUUCGCAAUUAUGUGGAAGUAUACUCUAACUAUUCAUGUUGAGACUAAUUAGCAAGGAAUGAUGUGAUGAGGAAAAGGAAAUAGUAGAUUAGUUAUAUUGAAUUUUUUUUUUGCUUGA